rnacentral:rRNA from 1 species
AGCGAACGCUGGCGGCAGGCUUAACACAUGCAAGUCGAACGCCCGUAGCAAUACGGGAGUGGCAGACGGGUGAGUAACGCGUGGGAACGUGCCCUUUGGUUCGGGAUAACCCAGGGAAACUUGGGCUAAUACCGGAUACGUCCCCUUGGGAGGAAAGAUUUAUUGCCGAAGGAUCGGCCCGCGUCCGAUUAGCUAGUUGGUGGGGUAAAGGCUCACCAAGGCGACGAUCGGUAGCUGGUCUGAGAGGAUGAUCAGCCACACUGGGACUGAGACACGGCCCAGACUCCUACGGGAGGCAGCAGUGGGGAAUAUUGGACAAUGGGCGCAAGCCUGAUCCAGCCAUGCCGCGUGGGUGAUGAAGGCCCUAGGGUUGUAAAGCCCUUUCGGCGGGAAGAUAAUGACGGUACCCGCAGAAGAAGCCCCGGCUAACUUCGUGCCAGCCGCCG